GAUGAACGCUGGCGGCGUGCCUAAUACAUGCAAGUCGAGCGAACAGACGAGGAGCUUGCUCCUCUGACGUUAGCGGCGGACGGGUGAGUAACACGUGGAUAACCUACCUAUAAGACUGGUAUAACUUCGGGAAACCGGAGCUAAUACCGGAUAAUAUAUUGAACCGCAUGGUUCAAUAGUGAAAGACGGUUUUGCUUUCACUUAUAGAUGGAUCCGCGCCGCAUUAGCUAGUUGGUAAGGUAACGGCUUACCAAGGCAACGAUGCGUAGCCGACCUGAGAGGGUGAUCGGCCACACUGGAACUGAGACACGGUCCAGAAUCCUACGGGAGGCAGCAGUAGGGAAUCUUCCGCAAUGGGCGAAAGCCUGACGGAGCAACGCCGCGUGAGUGAUGAAGGUCUUCGGAUCGUAAAACUCUGUUAUUAGGGAAGAACAAAUGUGUAAGUAACUAUGCACGUCUUGACGGUACCUAAUCAGAAAGCCACGGCUAACUACGUG
rnacentral:rRNA from 1 species